GACGUAGGGCGCGAGCGUUGUCCGGAUUUAUUGGGCGUAAAGAGCUCGUAGGUGGUUUGUCGCGUUGUUCGUGAAAACUCACAGCUCAACUGUGGGCGUGCGGGCGAUACGGGCAGACUUGAGUACUGCAGGGGAGACUGGAAUUCCUGGUGUAGCGGUGGAAUGCGCAGAUAUCAGGAGGAACACCGGUGGCGAAGGCGGGUCUCUGGGCAGUAACUGACGCUGAGGAGCGAAAGCGUGGGGAGCAAACAGG
rnacentral:rRNA from 1 species